AACGCACAUUGCGCCCGCCAGUAUUCUGGCGGGCAUGCCUGUUCGAGCGUCAUUUCAACCCUCAAGCCCCCCCGGGGGCUUGGUGUUGGGGACCGGCCCUGCCUCGUCGCGGGCGCCGCCCCCCAAAUCCAUUGGCGGUCUCGCCGCAGCCUCCUCUGCGUAGUAAUUUUGCACCUCGCACCGGAGCGCGGCUCGGCCACGCCGUAAAACCCCAACUUCUGAAAUGUUGACCUCGGAUCAGGUAGGAAUACCCGCUGAACUUAA
rnacentral:misc_RNA from 1 species